UACGUAGGGGGCAAGCGUUGUCCGGAUUUAUUGGGCGUAAAGCGCACGCAGGCGGUGCGGUAAGUUUCGUGUGACAGGUGGUGGCUUAACUGCCACAGGCCUUGGAAAACUGCCGCACUUGAGGGCUUGAGAGGGACGCGGAAUUCCAGGUGGAGCGGUGAAAUGCGUAGAGAUCGGCAGGAACACCCAGGGGGAAACCAGCGGACUGGGCAUCAGCUGACGCUCAGGUGCGACAGCGUGGGGAGCGAACCGG
rnacentral:rRNA from 1 species